GAUCCGGUGGUGUAUUGGUAACAUAUUUGCAUACAAUACGAAGGUAUGUUGAAUAUAUGCAAGAGAACCCUGUUCAACUCAGGGCUAGGUCA